rnacentral:rRNA from 1 species
CGAAAGCCUGACGAUGCGACGCCGCGUGUGUGAUGAAGGCCUUCGGGUCGUAAAGCACUUUCGCUUGGGAACAAGAGAGGCUGACUAAUAACCAGCUAAUUUGAGGGUACCAGGUAAAGAAGCACCGGCUAACUCCGUGCCAGCAGCUGCGGUAAUACGGAGGGUGCUAGCGUUAAUCGGAUUUAUUGGGCGUAAAGGGCGCGUAGGCGGACAGAAAAGUCGGACGUGAAAUCCCAGGGCUUAACCCUGGAACAACAUCCGAAACUUUCUAUCUAGAGGGUAGGCGGAGAAAACGGAAUUCCACAAGUAGCGGUGAAAUGCGUAGAUAUGUGGAAGAACACCGGUGGCGAAGGCGGUUUUCUAGCUUAUUCCUGACGCUAAAGCGCGAAAGCAAGGGGAUCAAACAGGAUUAGAUACCCUGGUAGUCCUUGCCGUAAACUAUGUAUACUUGGUGUAACUGGACUCAACCCUAGUUGUGCCGUAGCUAACGCGAUAAGUAUACCGCCUGGGGAGUACGCUCGCAAGGGUG